UGAAACCAAAGCACAGGAGAUGUUUACAUAAAGAAUUGUUACUACAGAGAGGUUACUGUGAUAGACUGCCGUUAUUAUCUUCCUGAGUGCCUGGACUGGGUGACGGUGUUUGAUAAAUCCUACUUGGUGUUCGGUGCAUCCAAUAUCUCUCGGUCUUGGACUGUCAAUUUAUCGAGUCCGGCUUCCUGUAAAAACUUUACCCCAUCAUGUGGAUCAUCGCGGGACGAUUCAUAAAACUUCCUGAAGUGGUCAGCCAUUAUAUUUUUAAUUAAGUUGGUGUCAUGGGUCCAACCAUCAGGUGUCUUAAUUUUCUGGAUAUAGGGGUUGCGGGCCUUACUUUUAGCUAUACGUGCCAGUAGUUUUCCUGAUUUGUUACCAUACCUGUAGAAUUUGUUAGCGAUAUGACUGAUUGAUUUGUGUGCCUUUUCCGUUAAUAAAAUGUCAAAAAGU